CUACGGGGUGCAGCAGUGGGGAAUAUUGGACAAUGGGGGAAACCCUGAUCCAGCAAUGCCGCGUGUGUGAAGAAGGCCUGCGGGUUGUAAAGCACUUUCGGUUGGGAGGACUGCUUCUAGCACUAAUAUUGUUGGAAGUUGACGUUACCUUCAGAAGAAGCACCGGCUAACUCCGUGCCAGCAGCCGCGGUAAUACGGAGGGUGCAAGCGGUUAAUCGGAAUUACUGGGCGUAAAGCGCGCGUAGGCGGCUAGAUCAGUCGGGUGUGAAAGCCCCGGGCUUAACCUGGGAACUGCAUCCGAUACUGUCUAGCUUGAGUACAGGAGGGGAGAGUGGAAUUCCACAUGUAGCGGUGAAAUGCGUAGAUAUGUGGAGGAACACCAAUGGCGAAGGCAGCUCUCUGGCCUGAUACUGACGCUGAGGUGCGAAAGCGUGGGGAGCAAACAGGAUUAGAUACCCUUGUAGUC
rnacentral:rRNA from 1 species